GCAACUCGACUACAUGAAGCUGGAAUCGCUAGUAAUCGCGGAUCAGAAUGCCGCGGUGAAUACGUUCCCGGGUCUUGUACACACCGCCCGUCACACCAUGGGAGUCAGUAACGCCCGAAGCCGGUGACCCAACCUAACCAGGAGGGAGCCGUCGAAGGCGGGACGGAUGACUGGGGUGAAGUCGUAACAAGGUACC
rnacentral:rRNA from 1 species